GACGAACGCUGGCGGCGUGCUUAACACAUGCAAGUCGAACGGAAAGGCCCUUCGGGGUACUCGAGUGGCGAACGGGUGAGUAACACGUGGGUGAUCUGCCCUGCACUUUGGGAUAAGCCUGGGAAACUGGGUCUAAUACCGAAUAGGACCACGCGCUUCAUGGUGUGUGGUGGAAAGCUUUUGCGGUGUGGGAUGGGCCCGCGGCCUAUCAGCUUGUUGGUGGGGUAAUGGCCUACCAAGGCGACGACGGGUAGCCGGCCUGAGGGGGUGACCGGCCACACUGGGACUGAGAUACGGCCCAGACUCCUACGGGAGGCAGCAGUGGGGAAUAUUGCACAAUGGGCGCAAGCCUGAUGCAGCGACGCCGCGUGAGGGAUGACGGCCUUCGGGUUGUAAACCUCUUUCAAUAGGGACGAAGCGCAAGUGACGGUACCUAUAGAAGAAGCACCGGCCAACUACGUG
rnacentral:rRNA from 1 species